UACGUAGGGGGCGAGCGUUGUCCGGAUUUAUUGGGCGUAAAGCGCGUGUAGGCGGCUUGGCAAGUCCGCUGUGGAAAACUCGAGGCUCAACCUCGAGAUGUCGGUGGAAACUGCCUGGCUAGAGUCCGGAAGAGGAGUGUGGAAUUCCUGGUGUAGCGGUGAAAUGCGCAGAUAUCAGGAAGAACACCUAUGGCGAAGGCAGCACUCUGGGGACGGUACUGACGCUGAGACGCGAAAGCUAGGGGAGCAAACAGG
rnacentral:rRNA from 1 species